GAUGAACGCUGGCGGCGUGCCUAACACAUGCAAGUCGAGCGAACAGAUGCGUAGCUUGCUCCUCUUACGUUGGCGGCGGACGGGUGAGCAACGCGUGGAUAACCUACCUAUAAGUCUGGGUGAACUUCGGGGAGCCGGUUCUGAUACCGGAUAAUAUAUUCAACCGCAUGGUUCAAUAGCUUAUGAGGCUUUUGCUGUCUCUUAUAAUUAUCUCCAGGUCGCUUGGGUUGGUUGGUAAGGAAACGGCUUACCAAGGCGACGAUGCGUAGCUGACCUGAGAGGGUGAACGCCCACACUGGAACGGAGACACGGUCCAGACACCUACAGGAGGCAGCAGUGGGGAGUGUUGAGCAAUGGGCGAAAUCCUGAAGGAGCAACGCCGCGUGAGUGAGGAAGGUCUUCGGAUCGUAAAACUCUGUUGUUAGGGAAGAACAAAUGUAAAAGAAACCAUGCUCGUCUUGACGGUACCUAAUCAGAAAGCAACGGCUAACUACGUG
rnacentral:rRNA from 1 species